rnacentral:lncRNA from 1 species
AAGCCUUAAUCUGUCCUGAUUUUUAUUUAUUCCAGUGUUGCAGACAGCGAGAAGAAGCUCGUUUACCUUUACUGAGAGCUGGUAUUACUUUUGAGAAACCUCUCUAAUAGCUCUAGCUUCCCUAACGAGAAGAAACAACUCGGUAACUUCUGCUAAGAACUUUUAAUUACCUUUUAAGAAUAUUUCUCAAUAUUUUAACAUAGCUGUAGAAUAAAAAUGAAGAAACCACGUAGGAGCUUGUAUUAUCUUUGAGAAACCUCUCGGACGUGGUUGCAGCUUGCCGAGGCCUGGCUCGGAGCUCCCCCCAGCCCAGGCCCGAGCCCAGGCCCAGCGCCUCACGCGCCACCGUGUGCUCUGCAGGUCGGGCGCGGUGCUCGCUGCCCGGGUGCUGUUGCCUCGUGAGGAGGUCGGUGGUGUCUCCUGCUGGCUGUCACUGUUUCUAACCGUGGGUGUUGGGGGGCUCUGCUGCUGCUGAGGAUGCCUUUAGUCAAGAAGUCACAGCUUUGUUCUACCAGUGGACACGUGGCAGUUGUGAGGAGAAAGGUAGCUUAAAGUCAUUUAAAUUUUCUACUAGGACUACUAUACUUCCGGAGAAACGUACUUGAGAGAAGAGGCUCAUCUGCAUCAAUGCCACGUGUGCUUUAUCAGGCUGAGCAGAGAUGUAAGAUCCUGCUUAGCUAGAAAAGAGUUGGACAAAAAAAUCUUAAAGGAGUAGCCUAAACAAAUUUGAAAGCGAAGAGCAUAUAUGCUAUGAGGUCUGCAUUACGGAUCACCAAGAUCAAGUAGCUUCAUGUGAGAUCUGAAGGCAUCUAUGAGCUCGUGACCUUUGCAACCGCUUCCCCAGACUCAGCGGUGCCUCGAGGUGGCAGGAAGCGUUGCAAGCAAUCAGUUCCACAAGGCUGCAGUGUUUGAUGUGAGACAGGAGAAAGUCAGAGGGCUGGUAAAGGUCCAAAGAUUUACUGCAAAGCAGGAAAAUCAUAUUCUUUACCUGACCUUCACCCUUCUGUUCCUGGGGUCUGCUGUUCUUGGAUUUUCCAGAGCCAGUGUCUCAUGGGAAUGCAUGAUGAUUUUCUCAGCUUGCACAGGACAUUUCUUGCUAUUUUGAAUCAUCAGACAGAAUAAGUAUUGGAGGCUUUAUUGAAAGACAGCUUAGGUGAAAUAGCAAAUAAUGGGGGAGAUGAACAAAAAAUCUCCGAAUACAAAACUGCUCUCUUAAGAAGUUCAGAGCAUUGGUCAAUGUGGAAAUGCUUAUCCUUUAGUGCAAUGUGAAAUAAAAGAGGAGAUGCUGAAAUGUUGCA